rnacentral:misc_RNA from 1 species
UCUCCGUUGGUGAACCAGCGGAGGGAUCAUUGAAGAGUUGCAAGACCUUACACCACUGCGAACAUACCACUACGUUGCCUCGGUGGGCGGCUCCAGGGCGGAGUCUCCGGCCCCUCUCGGGGGGGUGCCCGCCGUUGGCCCCUAUACUUUGUUGUUUCUAAGUCCUCUCAGUACCUGUAUAAGCAGUGAAAACUUUCAACAAUGGAUCUCUUGGCUCUG